rnacentral:rRNA from 1 species
AAUUCUUGGACCGUGGCCAGACAAACUACAGCGAAAGCAUUUGCCAAGAAUGUUUUUAUUAAUCAAGAACGAAAGUCAGAGGUUCGAAGGCGAUCAGAUACCGCCCUAGUUCUGACCGUAAACGAUGCCAACUAGCGAUCCGCCGAUGGAAAUUAUAUUGCCUUGGUGGGGAGCUUCCCGGAAACGAAAGUCUUCCGGUUCCGGGGGAAGUAUGGUUGCAAAGCUGAAACUUAAAGGAAUUGACGGAAGGGCACCACCAGGAGUGGAGCCUGCGGCUUAAUUUGACUCAACACGGGGAAACUCACCCGGCCCGGACACUGUGAGGAUUGACAGAUUGAUAGCUUUUUCAUGAUUCAGUGGAUGGUGGUGCAUGGCCGUUCUUAGUUCGUGGAGUGAUUUGUCUGGUUUAUUCCGAUAACGAGCGAGACUCUAACCUACUAAAUAGUUGGUGCAUACUCUUUGUGUAUACAGCUUCUUAGAGGGAUUUGCGGCGUUCAGCCGAAAGAAAUUGAGCAAUAACAGGUCUGUGAUGCCCUUAGAUGUCCGGGGCUGCACGCGCGCUACACUGGCAAAAUCAACGUGCUUGUCCUACCCUGAAAGGGGCGGGUAAACCAUUGAAAAUUUGCCGUGAUUGGGAUCGGAAAUUGCAAUUAUUUUCCGUGAACGAGGAAUUCCAAGUAAGUGCGAGUCAUCAGCUCGCGUUGAUUACGUCCCUGCCCUUUGUACACACCGCCCGUCGCUGCCCGGGACUGAGCCAUUUCGAGAAAUUUGGGGACCGUUGA